rnacentral:tRNA from 1 species
GGAGAGAUGCCGGAGCGGCUGAACGGACCAGUCUCGAAAACUGGAGUCGGGCAACGCUGCUGGGGGAAUUCCUUACCUUCUCCA